rnacentral:misc_RNA from 1 species
GAUGAAGAACGCAGCGAAAUGCGAUAAGUAAUGUGAAUUGCAGAAUUCCGUGAAUCAUCGAAUCUUUGAACGCACAUUGCGCCCCCUGGCAUUCCGGGGGGCAUGCCUGUCCGAGCGUCAUUUCUGCCCUCCAGCCCGGCUGGGUGUUGGGCGCUGUCCCCCCGGGGACACGCCCCAAAGGCAGUGGCGGCGCCGCGUCGGGUCCUCGAGCGUAUGGGGCUUUGUCACCCGCUCGGGACGGACUCGUCGGCGCUGGUCUUCCUCCAGGCGACCCUUCGGGGCUCGUCUUCCUUCGGUUGACCUCGGAUCAGGUAGGGUUACCCGCUGAACUUAAGCAUAUCAAUAGCGGAGGA